rnacentral:rRNA from 1 species
UACGGAGGGUGCAAGCGUUAUCCGGAUUCACUGGGUUUAAAGGGUGCGUAGGUGGGUUGGUAAGUCAGUGGUGAAAUCUCCGUGCUUAACAUGGAAACUGCCAUUGAUACUACUGAUCUUGAAUUUUCAGGAGGUAAGCGGAAUAUGUCAUGUAGCGGUGAAAUGCUUAGAUAUGACAUAGAACACCAAUUGCGAAAGGCAGCUUACUACAGGAACAUUGACACUGAUGCACGAAAGCGUGGGGAUCAAACAGG